GACGAACGCUGGCGGCGUGCUUAACACAUGCAAGUCGAACGGAAAGGCCCUGCUUUUGUGGGGUGCUCGAGUGGCGAACGGGUGAGUAACACGUGAGUAACCUGCCCUUGACUUUGGGAUAACUUCAGGAAACUGGGGCUAAUACCGGAUAGGAGCUCCUGCUGCAUGGUGGGGGUUGGAAAGUUUCGGCGGUUGGGGAUGGACUCGCGGCUUAUCAGCUUGUUGGUGGGGUAGUGGCUUACCAAGGCUUUGGCGGGUAGCCGGCCUGAGAGGGUGACCGGCCACAUUGGGACUGAGAUACGGCCCAGACUCCUACGGGAGGCAGCAGGGGGAAAUAUUGCACAAUGGGCGGAAGCCUGAGGCAGCAACGCCGCGUGCGGGAUGACGGCCUUCGGGUUGUAAACCGCUUUCGCCUGUGACGAAGCGUGAGUGACGGUAAUGGGUAAAGAAGCACCGGCUAACUACGUG
rnacentral:rRNA from 1 species